rnacentral:rRNA from 1 species
GAUGAACGCUGGCGGCGUGCCUAAUACAUGCAAGUCGAGCGAACAGACGAGGAGCUUGCUCCUCUGACGUUAGCGGCGGACGGGUGAGUAACACGUGGAUAACCUACCUAUAAUUCUGGGAUAACUUCGUGAAACCGGUGCUAAUACCGGAUAAUAUAUUCAACCGCAUAGAUCAAUAGUGAAUGACGGUUUUGCUGUCACUUAUAGAUGGAUCCGCGCCGCAUUAGCUAGUUGGUAAGGUAACGGCUUACCAAGGCGACGAUGCGUAGCCGACCUGAGAGGGUGAUCAGCCACACUGGAACUGAGACACGGUCCAGACUCCUACGGGAGGCAGCAGUAGGGAAUCUUCGGCAAUGGGCGAAAGCCUGACGGAGCAACGCCGCGUGAGUGAUGAAGGUCUUCGGAUCGUAAAACUCUGUUAUUAGGAAAGAACAAAUGUGUAAGUAAAUAUGCACGUCUUGACGGUACCUAAUGAGAAAGCCCCGGCUAACUUCGUG